rnacentral:lncRNA from 1 species
AGGGCCGCACCCAUGGCAUAUGGAAGUUCCCAGGCUAGUGGUCAAAUCAGAACUACAGCUGUUGGCCUAUGCCACAGUCACAGCCAUGCGGGAUCCAAGCCGCGUCUGUGACCUACACCACAGCUCAUGGCAAGGUGGGAUCCUUAACCCACGGAGCGAGGCCAGGGACCAAACCUGUGUCCUCAUGGAUCCUAGUUGGGUUCGUUACCGCUGAGCCACCAUGGAAACUCCUGAUAGUAAGAAUUUUGACAAAAAAAUUUUUUGGCCACGCCCAUGGCAUGUGGAAGUUCCCAGGCCAGGGAUCAAACCCAGAUCCUGCAGUACCAUACAAAAUGAAGACUGCCUAUACUGACUCAUGCUGAGCCCCUCCUUUCUUGAGAAAGAGCAAAAGAUUACCCAUUCUAGAAUGGGUGCUCCAUCUUUGGCAGGGACUGGGUCAGUCAUAUUCAUCAACGUAUCCUGCCUCAACCACUAGGCAGUGUUUGUCCAGAUCAGGACAUUGCUAAUAGCUGUUUGAAUGAAUGAAUGGACUCAUCCUGAGUGGGUGACAGAAAGGAGUCAUUUAGUUAAAAGGCAAGAUGUGCGAAGGGUACAAACUCACAAUGGAAAUAGGAGAAUUAUUACUUGGUUUGGGGUUACCAAGAAGGCUCAGCUUCUCGAAUCUCACCUGCCUCUACUGCCAAAGUGAACUCUGCCUAAAGUUGUGAAUAAUUAUAUCACGAAUGGCAUUCUGGACAAGAAUUUUGGUCUAGAAUGUAUAGUGGAAAACAAUUAACAGGAAGAAUGAAAAAAAAACCCCACACAAUGCUUUGAAAUUAAUGUGUAACAUAAGAUUGAGAUGCAAUUAUAAAUAUGGAGGAAAGAUGAGGGAAAGUUCAGCAAACAGCAGCAGGUUAAUUUCAAGUUGAAUGGUGAAAUAAGUGACGGGAUAAUUGGUUAUCUACUUCUUUUAAGCUAUGGGGGAUUUAACUAAUUCCAUUAUUUUGCACAGCAGAAAGAGUUGAUAAAGUCAUGGAUUGUUCUUCCAUGGAUUUCCUGUGUAUAGGCUUUGAAAUUUAUUUAUUUUUUAAUUAAAAACUUUAAUACAAUUUUAAAAGGAUACUUUUCAGGCUCUGACAUUUAAAAGUGAGAGGGAUAGGGCAGGGAAUAGAAAGAAUAAAAAGUAUCCAACUUAGUGAUAUUCCAGUUGUUAUGAAUAAAAAUUCAGUUCAAAAGGUAAGAUUCCAACUCUUUGAUCUUUCAAAGCUGAGGAGCUAUUUCUCCAAUCUGACUUUAAAGUUUUAUCGAGUUUUUGGACUGCCAGAGGGGAAACGAGCACUGAAAUCCAUAAAGGCAAACUGAAAACUAGUCUCAGACAGAAAUCCACACACACACACACACACCCCAUUAUCUACUCCAACACCUCUCCUGCACCUUUAUACAUCCAAACCUCUACAACACCCAAACAUACACACGUACACAUCCCCAAAUCAACCUGUUUCACAGCAGAGAAAAAUCAGGUUAGAGGAGGAAUCAUGUAAUAGCCAUGUGUUUUGAUCCCUGUGAAGAUUACUACAUGUUUUGAAGCGAUAAGGAAUCAUUGUAACAUAGCUGAUUUGCUUUUUUUUUUUCAAUUUCAAAAACGGUUAACCACAAUUACAAAUGGUGAUGAAGAGAACAAAUCUCUCCACUGCCAAAUUAAGAGUAAUCCAGGAGGAAAAAAUUACAGCAACAUC